ACACACACACACACACACACUCACAAUGGAAACCUCUGACAGCACAGCGAGUGCCUUUGUCAAACACUGUCAUGAACAUUUGCAAUGCUGGCAGAGUCUGCUGGCAUUGAGGGAUGAGAGUGUGUGUGUGUGUGUGUGUGUGUGUGU